CCCUUAGACACUCUAGGCGGCACGCGCGCUACACUGGGUGGAAGAACGUGUUACUGCCAUCGAAAGGUGGGGUGAAUCACGAAUUCUUGCCCGUGAAUGGGAUAGUUUGUUGCAAUUUUCGGACUUGAACUAGGAAUCCCUUGUAAGCAUGCUCAAGAAUAGCGUGUUGAAUACGUCCCUGCCGUUUGUACACACCGCCCGUCGUUUCUUCCGACUGAUACUCAUUGUGAGUUGCAAGGAUCCUUCAUUGGAGAAUUGCCGCGAAUGCUCUGUAUUGGAGGAAGAAAAAGUCGUAACA
rnacentral:rRNA from 1 species